rnacentral:rRNA from 1 species
GAUGAACGCUGGCGGCGUGCCUAAUACAUGCAAGUCGAGCGAACGGACGAGAAGCUUGCUUUUCUGAUGUUAGCGGCGGACGGGUGAGUAACACGUGGAUAACCUACCUAUAAGACUGGGAUAACUUCGGGAAACCGGAGCUAAUACCGGAUAAUAUUUUGAACCGCAUGGUUCAAAAGUGAAAGACGGUCUUGCUGUCACUUAUAGAUGGAUCCGCGCUGCAUUAGCUAGUUGGUAGGGUAACGGCUUACCAAGGCAACGAUGCAUAGCCGACCUGAGAGGGUGAUCGGCCACACUGGAACUGAGACACGGUCCAGACUCCUACGGGAGGCAGCAGUAGGGAAUCUUCCGCAAUGGGCGAAAGCCUGACGUAGCAACGCCGCGUGAGUGAUGAAGGUCUUCGGAUCGUAAAACUCUGUUAUUAGGGAAGAACAUAUGUGUAAGUAACUGUGCACAUCUUGACGGUACCUAAUCAGAAAGCCACGGCUAACUACGUG